UCAUCGGCGGGGGCAGAAACUGAGACACACGUCGGAUCAAAGUUAACGACCGAGUCGUGUCGGUGUGGUAGCGACGCUCAGGGGACAAACGAGCCCUGGUCCCGGUCCCGGUCCCGGUCCCGACAGGCGGCGUCGUGAGCUCGCGGGCCCUUACGGCUGCUUACCCUUGUCGAUGUUCGCCAUUUUGGAUUGAGCCGCUCUGCUCUGUCCUCAGUUGCCUUCACGUCCGGCGUCAUUUACAUAAUUCUGACGGUCGAAGUAAAAGAGAGAGAAAGAGGGGGGGACUCACUGGGCCCAGGUGUGGCCCCACGCUGCUGACGAAGCUCCCUAAUUGGUCUGCAGCCCUGUGAGACAGGAAGCAACAGCAGCAGCACGGUGAACCACGCAGAAGGGGUUGUCGUCACAAAUGUUUAUAACUGAGGUAAAUGUACCUCAAAUCAGGAAAUUCUGUCUGUGAGGUGGAGGCUGCUCUGUGGUGACGCUGUCACAAAAAGGAGGAAAAGGCAUCAAAUCAAAACUAAAGGGUAAAGGGAAUUCUGAAGUAGUUGAAAGAAUGAAUUACCUUCAAUAAAUAUGAUAAAUCCA